AACCACAGGAAACACUCGCCGGAACCACCUGCUUGACUCACCGGUCCCACCUGCCGGAGACGCCAAAAUCACCUGCCUGCUACACCAGAACCACUUGGCGGAGAAGCCGGAAUCACGUGAAGGGCAUGCCGGUACAACCUCUCAGACGUGCCAGAACCUCGUGCCGGACACCCCAGUACCACCUGCUGGACAGACUGGAACCACCUGCUGGAAACCCCGGAACCACUGGCUCGAAACGCCGGAACCACCGCCGGAAAUGCAAAAUCACCUGCCAGCUAUGCCAGAACCACUUGGUGAACACUCCGGAAUCACCUGCGGGGCAUGCCGGAACCACCUCUCAGACAUGCCAGAACCACAUGCCAAUGACACCGGAAGCACCUGCGGAGCACCCUGGAACCACCUGCUCGACUCACCAGAACCACCUGCCGGACACGCCAAAAUCACCUGCCGGCUACGCCAAAACCAGUUGGUGAACACUUCGGAAUCACCUGCCGGACUUGCUGGAACCACCUGCCAGUCACGCCAAAAUCACCUGCCAAGUAAGCCAGAACCACUUGGCGGACACUCCGGAAACACUUGUUGGGCCAGCCGGAACCACGUGUCGGACGUGCCAGAACCAUGUGCCUUAGAUGCCGGAACCACACCCCGAACAGACCGAAACCACCUGCCAGACCCGCCUGAACUACCUGCCCAGCACGCCGGAACCACCUACCUGACACGCCAAAAUCACCUGCCGGGUAUGCCAGAACCACUUGGCGGGCACUCUGGAAUCAUCUGCCGGACAUGCCGGAAUCAGCUCUCAGACACACCAGAACCACGUGCCGGAGAGGCCGGAAGCACCAGCCGAGCAUGCCUGAGCCACCUGCUCGACUCACAAGAAACACCUGCCCGACACGCCAAAAUCACCUGCUGGGUACGCCAGAACCACUUGGCGGACACUCCGGAAACACCUGCUGCGCAUGCCGGAACCACCUCUCAGACGUGCCGGAAUCACAUGCCUGACACGCCGGAAACACCUACCGCACAGACCGGUACCACCUGCCAGACAUGCCGGAACCACCUGCUGAGCACGCCGGAACCACCUGCCAGACA
rnacentral:lncRNA from 1 species